UUUGCUGUGGCUCAGUUGGUAGAGCCUUGUGCUAGCACUGCAAAGGUUGUGUGUUCAAUUCCCAGGGAAA